rnacentral:lncRNA from 1 species
UGCCUCACGCGCAAGCCAAUGCCUGACGUUCGUCAGGAAUAUUCCGUUAAAAGCUAACAGAUGUUAACGGUGAUGCAAAAAUUAACUCAACACGCAAAUUAAACCCUCUUGUUGACAAUUGUAGUAUACAUGUAAGUAGAGAUUGUUCUUAAACCGGGGAUUAGGAGGGAUUGCUAAACACUCUAAAUUGACUCAAAUAGAUAAAACUAAGCUUUAAAAUUCAUAACUAGACUCAAAAGACUCAACACAAGUUCACAAGACUCAAAAUAAGCUAAAAACACUCAAAAUUGCCUAAAAACACAAACUGGGCAGAUUUGGACUCUAAACACAAUUUUGAACGAAUUUUGGUUUUUCCUUGACUUAAAACACUUAAAAACAUAAUCUAAAACAUAUCCUAACUAGUUAGACACUCUAAAGUAAAGGGGGAUUUGGUUUUGGACGAAAAUAAAUUAACACAAAGCAAGAACUAAAACUAAGGAGAUUUGCACGAAUUUGAUGGAAUUAAAUGGAUGAUGGGCUAACUAGGAGGUUUUUCUCCACACAUGACAUACUUGCAUACAAAACAAUUUCCAGUUGCUUUUUCAAUGAACCAUGAACCUCAACACCCCAAGGUAAUUAGGUACGCUUAAAUUAACCCUCAGAUUUCCCUUAAGUCAUUGAAUUGAAUGGAAAUAGCGCAUUGCAAUCAAAUUAUUCCUUAAAAGGUCCCUACAUGAAAGCACAUAAUAGAGAAACAAUCAAAGAUCAUUAAGUUCUAUGGAAAUCAUAAGUGUUGACAAGACAUUCGUAACUAUGAAAGCGCAUGAUACUUAUGCCAGGAAUUUAUUGAACACGAUUGUGGCUAACAACCUUUACUACUUAUGAAUAUAAGUUCAUAACGAUUAGGUGAAACUCCCUUCUAUCCUAGCAUCAUAUUUAUGCAUACAAAUUAAGUGUGCACUCUCAACCCACAUACACAAACAAGUCUUAAUGCAAACAGAUAAGUAAAUUGAUUUCACAAUUCAUGAAAUCACAACUGGAUGUAAUCAAAUCAUAUUGCAAGCAUAGCCAUGGUUUCGAAAUUCCCCUUAGCUAAUAGGGGUUUAGUUCCUCAUACUCACAAAACAAAGAUUAUUGAAUUUAAACAUUGAAAACAAAAGAAAGAUUACACCUAAAACGUUCCAGCAACUCGAACUCGAAUGGCAAGCACGUCCAAGGGCUCUCCUCCUUCUUCCUUGCUGCGGCACAAGAGAUGGGUUAUGGUUUUGGGGGUGAUGGAUGGUAAGAAUGGCGUGGGAUGGUUGAUGAGGGUGAAAGGGUGCGGCUGAAUGUGUGUGGGAGUGAAUGGCUUGAAUGAAGGAUGUAGAAUGGUGUCUAGGGUUACGGCAAAGGUGUUUCUGAAUGGUAUGAAGGGUGGUGACGAAUUUGUGGCUGAAAACUUAUAUUUAUAGGCUAGGGUUUUCACAAAAUCUGAUGGGAAAAGGUUAAGGUUUUGUAGAUUAAAAGGCUUGGCUCAUCCAAUGGAGAAAAGAACUAGGGUUUGUGCAGAUUUUUAGGCUUCUAGAAGUGAUAGGUGCGGCACAACCCUAGGGGAAAUAGAUUAGGGUUUAACUUAGCAGAAAUAAAAGGCUUAGGCCCUAGGGUUUGCUGCAAAAGGGUUUAAUCCACCAAGGAAAGGGUUUUGGCCCACUUAGUUUCUGAAAAGGAUUUGUAUAACCCAAAUCCACAAGGAAUAAGGCUAGCCAAAUCAGAAUCCACAUGCAAUUGGCUUAGGAAAGGCACGGCAAGGGCUUAGAACAUAGGUGAGAGAGGAUUAGGAAACUUCCAAUCCAAGAAUAGAAACUUUCAAGAACGGAAACCUCCAAGAAUAGCAACUUCCAACUUUAGAAACUUUGGUUUCCAAUUCUGAACUCUUUGUUCUUCAUUUUCAUUUCUUCAUUCCAUUAUUCAUUCCUAGCCUCAUUUGAUCUUCAAUUUCGUCCAUUUCUUUAGCUCCAAGCAUGUGUCAUCCAUUCCAAGCCCAAUUUUGCUCCAAAAAGGCUCCAAAUGCACUUCUUUGCCACAUUAGCCAUAUAAACCUGAAAUUUCAUGAAAAUGACUUUAAACACUAAAAUAACUAAAGAAAAACAACAUAAAUGCACAAGAACAAGCUAACUAAGUCACAUGUAUAUGCUCCUAUCAAACGGCAUUACUUGAUGCCAUAAGGAAUAUUCUGUCAACUUUGACGAAAUUUUUGUCUCCUUUUCCAGUGAGCCUCGCCGUCACUGCCGUUUGCGACUCGGUUUUUUGCCAGAGUUCUGGAAAAAUUUCAAAUUCACUAUUCUCCUUCAUUUCUCAACCAUUUUUUACGCACUAUAUAUGGAUUUGAAGCUAAUGAAGAGUAGAAUCAUGUAUACCUGUUUGGAGUCCAAAAAGUGGACAGAGGUUGUCAGAAAAAGCCUCAAAAGUUCUGGCCAAAAGUGAACUCUUUGAAACUCGAUUGUUUCACGUCGACCUUCUUCCAAAACAAGCCUAAGACCUUUAGAACGUCAUGUAGAAGCUUUCCCAAGUUUCAAAAUAUCCUAACUCGUUCGGAAACACGUCGAACUCAGUGUGCCCGAGUUCGGACCUCAUGAGUUAACGAGUCAAAACUCGUCUAAACCAGGUUUCAAGAACAUGGUUGUGAUCGUGAAGAUGAGAGGCGUAUAAUUGAAGGAAAAAUUUUGUCCUAGCUAAGAACAAGUAUGAACAUUUGAAUACAUAUGCAUACUAUUAACUCAUUAA